AGAUAGAUAGAUAGAUGAUUGAUAGAGAGAUAGAGAAAGAUAGAGAGAGAUAGAGUUGAAGCUAGAAGGAAAGAUGUAUAAUGAAGUAUCAUUUCAGUAAAUAGUUGUACCUGGUAUAUGACAUUUAUUAUUUUUCUAAAAAAAUUCUGUUUUACCAGUAUUUUCGGCCCUUUAUAUUUAAAACACAUUUUGUAAGGUGCAACGAGAAAUAUAUAUUUUUUAAUACACCGUGGCCAGUAAUACGUGUAUCAAAAUUCUAGAUUCAUAAAUACGUUUAAGAAGAUGUUUUUAAAAAAUGAAAGGAAACGAGAGAAAGAAAUGGUCAUUAUGGCAAUGUCCCCCCAGGCUCUGUGCUGGAAUAAAUUAGAAUGGAUACAUUUUUAGCAUCAUAGUUGCAUCGACUCUAUUCUAUUUUUUUUUUUUUAAGGCACCCAAAAAGCCAAUUUCUAAUACAUCCUGUAUCAGCCAAAGUGCAUAAAGGCGAGUUAAAUUGAUUCGCUGCGAAUAAAAAGGAGAUGGGGCUGCCAUGUGAUUCAGGGGCUGCUGUGGGGAGAAGUUAUUGUAACCUCUGUAACACCCAUAUUAAUUAAUAAUGAAUUCGAAUUUGUUUCCUCUCUCCCAGGGGAUGUAAUAGUUAAACAGGCAGCAAGGAAUAUGGUCCCUGUAUGUGUGGGCUGGGAGAGCUGGAUACAUUUAUGUUGUAUGGGGUUUUUAAAUCAAUGUCAAUGCAGUUGGGGGGGGGGUUGCAUUGUGUUUUAGAACUUGCACUAGAAAGGAGAGAAAAUGCUGCAGAAAGAAGGAGAAGAAGGAAGGAAAAAUCAAAGGGCAAGCCAUGAAUGCACAAGAGAGAGGGAGAGAAGAGAUAUCAGAGGGAUCUGCGCCUGGAAGCGUUCAGAGAGCCGCAGCCGGCGAUUGUUUGCGAUAGUGGGAGCGAUGAUCCCUCUCUUGAGCUCUUUUUUCAGAAGGUACAAAGUAGCUAUGAGUGCAGUUGCCCCUGAAUAUCCCAACCUCAAUUUCCCCGACCCUAAAUAAUAGGCAAUUAUUAGAAAACCAUUAGUUUGUAAACGAAAACACCGCCUGGCCUCCCACGUGCGAUAUCAGGGAUAUUAUUUAUUUUCCAGAUUAGAAUGAAUCAUUCAUUGUACAGGAUUCAUAUGGAGACUUUUUUUGUUUCUGCAAGUUCUUUAAUAUUUUAUUUGCUGGUUGCCUGAAACCUCACUUAUAAAAUGUAUAGUUCCAGGCAAGAGUUGUUUAAAAUUACUAUUAUUUAUUAUUAUGUGUUGUUUAAAAAUAUUUCCGUAUAAGUAUCUGUUUCUUUUACUAAUUAUUGUAUGACAUGUGCUUGGUGCCGCUUUGAUAGGGCGCGCAUGAGAUUAAAUAGCACAAUGCUGUAAAUCGAAUGCGAUCUCUGUGUAAAUUGAGUUCUAUUAAAAAUAUAUAUAUAUAUAUAUUCAAAGCCAUCGAAUACAAAUCGCGUUUCAUUUUUUUUCAACAGUGUGCAAAUUGUCGAAUGAUAAUAUUUAAGAAUGGAAGCUGUAAUGAAAUGCAUUUAUUUGAAUAUAAUGAAAUUAGCAUGCAAUGCACUCAUUUGGUACAGUAAAGCAUAUCAUUAAAUAUUUCAGCAUUUGUUGUAUAGUUAUUUAUUUAUUUAUUUAUUUAUAUAAAACAAAUACAUACACCCCUUAAAUAA